rnacentral:rRNA from 1 species
AUUGAACGCUGGCGGCAUGCUUUACACAUGCAAGUCGAACGGCAGCGCGGGCUUCGGCCUGGCGGCGAGUGGCGAACGGGUGAGUAAUACAUCGGAACGUGCCCAGUAGUGGGGGAUAGCUCGGCGAAAGCCGGAUUAAUACCGCAUACGACCUGAGGGUGAAAGCGGGGGAUCUUCGGACCUCGCGCUAUUGGAGCGGCCGAUGGCAGAUUAGCUAGUUGGUGGGGUAAAGGCCUACCAAGGCGACGAUCUGUAGCUGGUCUGAGAGGACGACCAGCCACACUGGGACUGAGACACGGCCCAGACUCCUACGGGAGGCAGCAGUGGGGAAUUUUGGACUAAGGGCGAAAGCCUGAUCCAGCAAUGCCGCGUGUGUGAUGAAGGCCUUCGGGUUGUAAAGCACUUUUGGCGGGAACGAAAAGGACUGUGCCAAUACCACGGUUCGAUGACGGUACCCGCAGAAUAAGCACCGGCUAACUACGUG